GGUUCCCCAAAAAAAUCUGCUCUACCAAUGUGAGUUACUUACACCUUAUCUCCUGUAGGUAGGUGAACUUGGUCUUGCUGUGAUUUUGUUAGGAUUUGAACAUUUCUUAACAUGCAUCUACUAGAGGUUAUAUGGUGAGAAGCACCAGAAUCUACUAUCCAGUUUGGUGGAAAACCAGUACGGGACAUCAAACAAGUUGUGGUACCUGACAUGUUAACCUGCUUAGACUCUGUUGUAUCCUUGUACAGCAAGGUGAGGAUCUGUUUAUACUAUUUUUUAGUAAAGGGUUGUCCCUUUGCGAAGACAGUGUCAUUACCUUCAUGGUUUGUGGAUGAUUUGCUAGUUGAUGCUACAUGAGUGUGAUCACUAGAAAUGGUAUUAGCUUCAUAGUUACCUCCAAUACCUCCUCCAGGAUUACCAUAUCUAUUUUUUGUACCAUUACCUGAAGUGAUGUGAUUAUGCACGUUCUUAAAAGUGCCAAUUUUCUUCCUUUGCUUCCAAUCUACUGGAUACCCAAUCAGAUUAUAGCAAUUCUCUUUAGUGUGACUAGUGAAGUUGCAGAAUUCACAUUUCCUUCCUCUAUAGGAUUUUCUUUCUUGGUUUCUAUUUACAUUCAUGGCAAUUUGAUCUGGUUUCUCAACCAUAGUAGCUAUACAAGCUGAGUGCUGAAUCUCAUCCUCUAUUAUCAUGGCAUAUGCUUGGUUUAUGGUAGGAGCAGUCCCUUUUAACAAAAUCUGCCUUCGAGCUUGGUCAUAGGAUUCAUUCAAGCCACUGAGGAACUAGAUCAACCUCAUUUCUGAUAAAUGAUCCAUAUAUUCCUUCGACCUUAGACAAUUACAGCUAGGUGAAGGAACAACGGCAUCAUACUCAUUCCAUAAGGUUUUCAAUUUGGUGUAAUACUGAGAGAUAGAAUCAGUGCCUUGUGAUAAUGUGGUGAUUUCUCUGUGUAAUUGAUAUACUCGCAUUUGAUUUACCUUGUCAAAUCUUUCCUGCAGGUCAUUCCACACAUCAUAUGCACGGGUUGCAUACACAAUUCCACUAAAAAGAUCUUCACUUACAGUAUUGAUUAGCCAUGACAACACAAUAGAAUUUCACAUCUCCCAUUGCACGUGCAAUUCUUCACUGUAUGUCUCCUUUUUACAUGACCUGUAACGAAUCCAUACUUUCGUUUUCCCAUCAAGGCAAUCUUCAUCGACCUGCUCCAUAUGCCAUAGUUCUCAGGUCCAAUCAAUUUGAUUGGAAUAAGCACAGCUCCAGUAAUAGCUGAAGAGCCAAUGAACAGGGGAUCAUUUAGAUCUAUUUUUGGCGCCAUUUCUCAAUGUAAGGUUCUGCGAUUAGAUCACUUAGAAGAGAUCUCAACUCCCCUAUGAUCAAUCAGCUGAGUAGUGCUCAAUGUCAAUUGCAGAUGCGAAGAAGAAACACCCAGUCUUGGUGCUCUGAUACCAUGUUAAAAUACUUGCUAAGACUCCAUUGAUGGAGCUAAGAAGAGGAGAAGAAGAAUCAAAAAAUUAUAACUGUUUCUUAAA
rnacentral:lncRNA from 1 species